GGAGGAGUGCGGGAGUGGCUUAUCCGGCUGGUUUCGAAAACCAAGCGAGCUGUAAGGCUCACAGAGGUUCAAAUCCUCUCUCCUCCG
rnacentral:tRNA from 1 species